rnacentral:rRNA from 1 species
UACGUAGGGGGCAAGCGUUGUCCGGAAUCAUUGGGCGUAAAGCGCGUGUAGGCGGCUUCGUAAGUCCGUUGUGAAAGUCCAGGGCUCAACCCUGGAAUGCCGAUGGAUACUGCGGAGCUAGAGUCCGGAAGAGGCGAGUGGAAUUCCUGGUGUAGCGGUGAAAUGCGCAGAUAUCAGGAGGAACACCAAUGGCGAAGGCGGCAUCCUGGACCGGCAUUGACGCUGAGGCGCGAAAGCCAGGGGAGCAAACGGG